GGUUGGUCUGAGUGCAGUGGUGUUUACAACUAAUUGAUCACAACCAGUUACAGAUUCCUUUGUUCCUUCUCCACUUCCACUGCUUCACUUGACCAGCCUUUA
rnacentral:Y_RNA from 1 species